AACGAACGCUGGCGGCAUGCCUAACACAUGCAAGUCGAACGAGACCUUCGGGUCUAGUGGCGCACGGGUGCGUAACGCGUGGGAACCUGCCCUUAGGUUCGGAAUAACUCCCCGUAAGGGGUGCUAAUACCGGAUAAUGUCUUCGGACCAAAGAUUUAUCGCCUUUGGAUGGGCCCGCGUUGGAUUAGCUAGUUGGUAGGGUAAAAGCCUACCAAGGCGACGAUCCAUAGCUGGUCUGAGAGGAUGAUCAGCCACACUGGGACUGAGACACGGCCCAGACUCCUACGGGAGGCAGCAGUGGGGAAUAUUGGACGAUGGGCGAAAGCCUGAUCCAGCAAUGCCGCGUGAGUGACGAAGGCCUUAGGGUUGUAAAGCUCUUUUACCCGGGAUGAUAAUGACAGUACCGGGAGAAUAAGCACCGGCUAACUACGUG
rnacentral:rRNA from 1 species